GUAGGUGAACCUGCGGAAGGAUCAUUAGAAGAAUCUGUACUAAGCUUCAUCGUAAGCCCAGAGCUACAAUUCUAACACACCCUGCGUAUCAUUCCUGUUGCUUCCGCAGGCUGGGUUUGGGCACUGUGUCCCAAACUGCCUUUCAGGCCUUGCUCAGUCUACCUAACCAGUAGGCUCUGGCCGCUUGCGGGAGGUAUUCUACAAACCAUUUGUAUUUAUUUUGCCUUCUGUCUGAAUUAUGUUAAUAACAAUCAUUAAAACUUUCAACAACGGAUCUCUUGGUUCUCGCAUCGAUGAAGAACGCAGCGAAAUGCGAUAAGUAGUGUGAAUUGCAGAAUUCAGUGAAUCAUCGAAUCUUUGAACGCACAUUGCGCCUCCUGGUAUUCCGGGAGGCAUGCCUGUUCGAGCGUCAUGAAGAGGAUAUUUCAAGCUCUUUUUGCUUGGUCCUGAAGGUUGAGUGUUGCCCUUGUACUCAUUCACCUUUGAAAUUUACUGGCGGACUGCUUCGUGUUCCUUUUAGCGUUAUAGGAUAACUCUUUCGCUUGGACUCGAUGGCCUGUCCUGCCCCAAAACCCCCAACUAUUUUGACGUUGACCUCGGAUCAGGUAGGGAUACCCGCUGAACUUAAGCAUAUCA
rnacentral:rRNA from 1 species